AACGAACGCUGGCGGCAUGCCUAACACAUGCAAGUCGAACGAGACCUUCGGGUCUAGUGGCGCACGGGUGCGUAACGCGUGGGAACCUGCCCUUAGGUUCGGAAUAACUCCCCGAAAGGGGUGCUAAUACCGGAUAAUGUCUUCGGACCAAAGAUUUAUCGCCUUUGGAUGGGCCCGCGUUGGAUUAGCUAGUUGGUAGGGUAAAAGCCUACCAAGGCGACGAUCCAUAGCUGGUCUGAGAGGAUGAUCAGCCACACUGGGACUGAGACACGGCCUAGACUCCUACGGGAGGCAGCAGUGGGGAAUAUUGGACAAUGGGCGAAAGCCUGAUCCAGCAAUGCCGCGUGAGUGAUGAAGGCCUUAGGGUUGUAAAGCUCCUUUACCCGGGAUGAUAAUGACAGUACCGGGAGAAUAAGCUCCGGCUAACUCCGUG
rnacentral:rRNA from 1 species